GCAGAACUGGCAGCUCUGGAGGAUCUGCGCUUGAGUCGGGCCAUGGGUUACAUUUCCAUAUCUCCUAGUACUGUGGGUGGGUGCUUAACUCUGGAGGAGGCCAGGGCAAACCAACAACAAGAAAUGCAAAUCAAGAGAAGACAAAAGCAGGUUAAAAAUGUGGUUUAGAAACAUCUUAAGUUGUGCAAAAAUAGCAGUUAGAAUACUGCCAACAACAGAUGAACAUUAUAUUUCUAUCUAGUUUGCUUUUUAAUUUUAAAAGUGCAGCUAAUCUCCAUGGACUUUCUAAUGUGACCUUAUGUUCUAAAUCUAUAUUCAUUCUAUAUUCAAGAA